rnacentral:rRNA from 1 species
GCAUUCAGUUGCCAUCGGGUAAUGCCGGGCGACUCUGGAAGGACUGCCAUCGACAAGAUGGAGGAAGGUGGGGGAGUGACGUCAAGUCAUCAUGGCCCUUAUGUCCAGGGCGACACACGUGCUACAAUGGCCGGCACAACGGGAAGCGAGUUCGCGAGGACGAGCGGAUCCCUCAAAGCCGGUCGCAGUUCGGAUUGAAGUCUGCAACUCGACUUCAUGAAGCUGGAAUCGCUAGUAAUCGUGGAUCAGCCAAGCCGCGGUGAAUACGUUCCCGGGCCUU